rnacentral:rRNA from 1 species
UACGUAGGGUGCAAGCGUUACUCGGAAUUACUGGGCGUAAAGCGUGCGUAGGUGGUUUGUUAAGUCUGUUGUGAAAGCCCCGGGCUCAACCUGGGAAUGGCAAUGGAUACUGGCAGGCUAGAGUGCGGUAGAGGGUAGUGGAAUUCCUGGUGUAGCGGUGGAAUGCGCAGAUAUCAGGAAGAACACCCGUGGCGAAGGCGGCUCUCUGGAACGCAACUGACGCUGAGACGCGAAAGCGUGGGGAGCAAACAGG